CUCUUGGAGAGUUUGAUCCUGGCUCAGGACGAACGCUGGCGGCGUGCUUAACACAUGCAAGUCAAGGGGGGCCCGCAAGGGUCAACCGGC
rnacentral:ncRNA from 1 species